UUCACCAAAAUGACAAACACAAAGGAAAGAGGAGAAGCACCCAACAGAUGUUCUCUAGGCCUUUUAGAAAACAUGGAGUUGUUCCCUUGGCCACAUACAUGUGAAUCUACAAGAAAGGUAAUAUUGUAGACAUCAAGGGAAUGGGUACUGUUCAAAAAGGCAUGCCACACAAAUGUUACCAUGGCAAAACUGGAAGAGUCUACAAUGUUACCCAGCAUGCUGUCGGCAUUGUUGUAAACAAACAAGUUAAGGGCAAGAUUCUUGCCAAGAGGAUUAAUGUUCGUAUUGAGCAUAUUAAGCACUCUAAGAGCUGAGAUAGCUUCCUGAAACGUGUGAAGGAAAAUGAUCAGAAAAAGAAGGAAGCCACAGAGAAAGGUACCUGGGUUCAACUGAAGCGCCAGCCUGCUCCACCCAGAGAAGCCCACUUUGUGAGAACCAAUGGAAAGGAGCCUGAGCUCCUGGAACCCAUUCCCUAUGAAUUCAUGGCAUAA